UCUCACUCUGCAGCAGGGGUGGCUUUCUCUGCUGCACAGAGACUCCCCUUGUAGGGCCUGCCCCUGGAGACCUCUGACCACUGGGCUCCACACCCAGACUACUGUGGUGGCCAGGCCUGGUCCCUUGAGGAACAUUGAGCCCCCCACCCCGCAGCUUCACAGUCAGACCCCAUCCCCAACAAUUCUCUAACAAGCACUCUACCCACUGAACCAUAUCUCCAAGCUCCCUCCACCAAUUGUUUUUUUUGAAUCAGCAGAUGAACAAGAUAACAUUUUCCACUGGGAUGCCUAUAACUAGAAGACACAGACAAGAAGACACACUGGGGCUAGAAAGCUGGUUCAGCAUUUAAGAGCACAUGUUGCUCUUUUACACGAACCAGGUACAUGGAUGUCAUGGGACAUGUGUGUUGGUCUGAGGACAACAGGUGGAAUUUGAUUCUCUCCUUUCACCUCUGAGUUUUAGGAAUGAAACUCAGGACACCAAGCUUGGUGGCAUGGCAAGUAGGCAACCUCUGAAGACAAGAGUCUGGUACAGCUAACCCUGAAAGAAAAGUGACAGUUUAUUCCCAGAUGGGGACAGAGUCUUCAGAAACCCAGGUUAGUGGUGAUACAAGAGCUGGAAA